GUAGGUGAACCUGCGGAAGGAUCAUUAACACGUUUUAACACGUACUAACCACAAAACUGUGAAUCUGUCGAUGGUGUUUUUUGGCGCACGUGUGGUAAAGGGGAAGGUCAAGUGGGGGGAGGGUGGGGCUUUUGAGGCUUUGAGGCGCGUUUUUGUUUUUUUGUUUUUGAAAAUUGGGGGGGGGUGGGGGGAAUUGGCGGCAUGUUGGAGGAGCUGUACCGGCACCAAAAACCGCCUCCAUUUUUCCUCC
rnacentral:misc_RNA from 1 species